rnacentral:rRNA from 1 species
AGCGGCGGAUGGGUGAGUAACACGUGGGGAACCUGCCCCUAAGUCUGGGAUACCAUUUGGAAACAGGUGCUAAUACCGGAUAAUAAAGCAGAUCGCAUGAUCAGCUUUUGAAAGGCGGCGUAAGCUGUCGCUAAGGGAUGGCCCCGCGGUGCAUUAGCUAGUUGGUAAGGUAACGGCUUACCAAGGCGACGAUGCAUAGCCGAGUUGAGAGACUGAUCGGCCACAUUGGGACUGAGACACGGCCCAAACUCCUACGGGAGGCAGCAGUAGGGAAUCUUCCACAAUGGACGCAAGUCUGAUGGAGCAACGCCGCGUGAGUGAAGAAGGUUUUCGGAUCGUAAAGCUCUGUUGUUGGUGAAGAAGGAUAGAGGUAGUAACUGGCCUUUAUUUGACGGUAAUCAACCAGAAAGUCACGGCUAACUACGUGCCAGCAGCCGCGGUAAUACGUAGGUGGCAAGCGUUGUCCGGAUUUAUUGGGCGUAAAGCGAGCGCAGGCGGAAAAAUAAGUCUAAUGUGAAAGCCCUCGGCUUAACCGAGGAACUGCAUCGGAAACUGUUUUUCUUGAGUGCAGAAGAGGAGAGUGGAACUCCAUGUGUAGCGGUGGAAUGCGUAGAUAUAUGGAAGAACACCAGUGGCGAAGGCGGCUCUCUGGUCUGCAACUGACGCUGAGGCUCGAAAGCAUGGGUAGCGAACAGGAUUAGAUACCCUGGUAGUCCAUGCCGUAACGAUGAGUGCUUAGUGU